GCUGUUGCUUUAGCCAUCAAGAAAGGCAAGGCUGGGGACGCCGCAUCCCCGGGUGCGGAGGGCGAUGCCUAGGGGCGAUGCUGUGCCUGUGGCGGCCAAACAGUGCCACCCACUCCGGGAAACAAAGCCAAGCGCCGGACGCUAGCUUCCUAGGUCUUCCACGUGUUCAACGGAAAUUCACAAAUUCUCUAGUAGCAGAAGCCAAGAACAAGUUCUCUGGAUCACAUAGGCUCCUCUGCUGCUUCCUCAGAAACAGAGAUGGUACUUGGUGCCGAAGAAAGAGACAGAGACUGGGAAGGAGAAGGAAGUCAGCAGAAAGAAGAAAGACGCACAGGAAAGAGAGAAGGGUAGCUAAAAGAAAGAGUCAGGGAGAUGGUUCCAGGAGAAGAAAAGAAAGUCAGUUGCUUUCUGAGAUCAGGUGGGAAGUUUAUCCUGUCAACUCCACCUUUAGAGUGCUAGUCUCUGGAGCCACAAGGACUGAAACUCUGCUUCAGAGACCCACCACUGAUGACAACCAUCAGGCUCAGGAACUGAAAAGAAAUGGUGCAAAUGUGGCCGAGGGACUUGGGUUUUACAUUUAUUGCCGAGUCUGGUUUUCUUGAGUUUCAGAUGAUAAAAUUGAAGCCCAGAGAAGCUUGGGAGCCUCAACUAUUAAUGGAAAAACCAUAACUAGAACUGAGUUUUCCUGAGACAUUUUUUACUAUUCAUUCCCCUGCUCUUGGGCCACUCCAGGGCACUGAGCACACUUGCUUUGGCUAUUUGGAGAAGAGGCCAAUAGACACAACUGGCUUCAUCUUCAGGGACACCCAAUAUCUGGCAGCCCUCAGCCCCAGCGGAGUCUUUAUUGAAAGAACUGAUUCAUAGACCAGGCGCGGUGGCUCACGCCUAUAAUCCCAACACUUUGGGAAGCUGAGGUGGGCGGAUCUCAGUCAGGAGAUCGAGACCAUCCUGGCUAACACGGUGAAACCCCAUCUCUACUAAAAAUACAAAAAUAAAAAAAAAAAAUAGCUGGGUGUGGUGGCAGGCGCCUGUAGUCCCAGCACUUUGGGAGGCCGAGGUGGGCAGAUCACAAGGUCAGGAGUUCAAGACCAGCCUGACCAACAUGGUGAAACCCCAUCUCUACUAAAAAAAUACAAAAAUUAGCUGGGUGUGGUGGUGCGCACCUGUAAUCCCAGCCACUCAGAAGGCUGAGGCAGGAGAAUUGCUUGAACCUAGGAGGGGAAGGUUGCAGUGAGCCGAGAUUGCGCCACUGCACUCCAGCCUGGUUGACAGAGCAAGACUCUGUCUCAAGAAAAAAAAAAAGAAAAAGAAAAAAAAAGAAAGAAAGAACUGAUUUAUGAAAAGAUUCUUAUCAUGAUUUUCAUUUUACUAGUCCAAAGAUCACUGAGUUAAACUGCCUAUUUUAGUAGAUGAACAAAAGUGCCUUGAAUAAAGACGUAAUUCAAUAAAAACU
rnacentral:lncRNA from 10 species